CAAUAACAGAAAAAAAUAUUACAGAAUAGAAGAAAUGGUCACACAAAAAUAAAACACCAUUCAUAAUUUCAUAUUGAUAUUCUGAUUCCAGAACCAAAAAAAAAAAAUGAAAUAGCAAGAUCUGCCCAGAGUAUAUUACUACACACAUAUUGUCAAUUGUAUUAUGAUGGGCCGAAAAUGGCCCAAUAUAAUUUGGGCCGCAACAUUUCACCUUUGCGACGGUCCGAGCCCAGCUUCAUGACUUCUCUUCUUCAAGCUGCAUACAUGAUGAUACAAGUGGAACAAUGAAAAGAAAAUGAUCAUCGCAAAUCAAACAUUUCAAUUGGAAAAAGCGAACGAGAAUUAUCGAUCGAAUGAAUCGAUGCCGAAAUUCCCAACAUACCAUAAAUUCUCCGGGUCGAUUUCUCCAAUGUUCAAGAGAUUAAACCGGAAUUUCACCGGUUCAGGAUUAAACCGGAAUUUCACCGGUUCAGGAUUAAACCGGUACGCUACACCCCAAUUCA
rnacentral:lncRNA from 1 species